rnacentral:hammerhead_ribozyme from 1 species
AUCCAGCUGACUAAUCCCAAAUAGGACGAAAUCCGAAUCCUGGAU